rnacentral:rRNA from 1 species
CUAUAUCCCUGUUCCUAAGUAUAAGCAAUUAUACCGCGAAACUGCGAAUGGCUCAUUAAAUCAGUUAUCGUUUAUUUGAUAGUACCUUACUACUUGGAUAACCGUGGUAAUUCUAGAGCUAAUACAUGCUAAAAAUCCCGACUUCGGAAGGGAUGUAUUUAUUAGAUUAAAAACCAAUGCCCUUUGGGCUCACUGGUGAUUCAUGAUAACUUCUCGAAUCGCAUGGCCUUGCGCCGGCGAUGGUUCAUUCAAAUUUCUGCCCUAUCAACUUUCGACGGCUGGGUCUUGGCCAGCCAUGGUGACAACGGGUAACGGAGGGUUAGGGCUCGACCCCGGAGAAGGAGCCUGAGAAACGGCUACUACAUCCAAGGAAGGCAGCAGGCGCGCAAAUUACCCAAUCCCGACACGGGGAGGUAGUGACAAUACAUACUGAUACAGGGCUCUUUUGGGUCUUGUAAUUGGAAUGAGUACAAUUUAAAUCCCUUAACGAGGAACAAUUGGAGGGCAAGUCUGGUGCCAGCAGCCGCGGUAAUUCCAGCUCCAAUAGCGUAUAUUAAAGUUGUUGCGGUUAAAAAGCUCGUAGUUGAACCUUGGGCCUGGCUGGCCGGUCCGCCUCACCGCGUGCACUGGUACGGUCGGGCCUUUCCCUCUGGGGAACCGCAUGCCCUUCACUGGGUGUGUCGGGGAACCAGGACUUUUACUUUGAAAAAAUUAGAGUGUUCAAAGCAGGCUUAUGCUCGGAUACAUUAGCAUGGAAUAAUAGAAUAGGACGUGCGGUUCUAUUUUGUUGGUUUCUAGGACCGCCGUAAUGAUUAAUAGGGACAGUCGGGGGCAUCAGUAUUCAAUUGUCAGAGGUGAAAUUCUUGGAUUUAUUGAAGACUAACUACUGCGAAAGCAUUUGCCAAGGAUGUUUUCAUUAAUCAGGAACGAAAGUUAGGGGAUCGAAGACGAUCAGAUACCGUCGUAGUCUUAACCAUAAACUAUGCGAACUAGGGAUCGGACGAUGUUAUUAUUUGACUCGUUCGGCACCUUACACGAAAGUACAAGUUUCUGCGUCCGGGGGAGUAGCGCCUG